rnacentral:rRNA from 1 species
UACAGAGGUCUCAAGCGUUGUUCGGAUUCAUUGGGCGUAAAGGGUGCGUAGGCGGCCAACUAAGUCAGACGUGAAAUCCCUCGGCUUAACCGGGGAACUGCGUCUGAUACUGGAUGGCUUGAGGUUGGGAGAGGGAUGCGGAAUUCCAGGUGUAGCGGUGAAAUGCGUAGAUAUCUGGAGGAACACCGGUGGCGAAGGCGACUUCCUGGCCUGUUCUUGACGCUGAGGCGCGAAAGCUAGGGGAGCAAACGGG